AAUGGACUAGAGGCACUGCCGCUGUGGCUGUUGUGUCACAUGUGCAUCAGUAGGUGGCAGAGAGGAGAGAGGCUGUGUCUACUCUCGGUGUUCUGACCUGUGAAUGUCUGAAUGAUUAGCAGCCUAAUAUU